GUAAGCGCGCGUAGGUGGUUUGUUAAGUUGGAUGUGAAAUCCCCGGGCUCAACCUGGGAACUGCAUCCAAAACUGGCAAGCUAGAGUAUGGUAGAGGGUGGUGGAAUUUCCUGUGUAGCGGUGAAAUGCGUAGAUAUAGGAAGGAACACCAGUGGCGAAGGCGACCACCUGGACUGAUACUGACACUGAGGUGCGAAAGCGUGGGGAGCAAACAGGAUUAGAUCCCGAGU
rnacentral:rRNA from 1 species